AUACGGAGGAUCCGAGCGUUAUCCGGAUUUAUUGGGUUUAAAGGGUGCGCAGGCGGCCAUUUAAGUCAGCGGUUAAAUCGUGGGGCUCAACCCCACUCUGCCGUUGAUACUGGGUGGCUUGAUUGCGGUCGAGGUUGGCGGAAUUCGUUGUGUUGCGGUGAAAUGCAUAGAUAUGACGAAGAACACCGAUUGCGUAGGCAGCUGACCAGACCGCAAAUGACGCUCAUGCACGAAAGUGCGGGGAUCGAACAGGAUUAGAUACCCUGGUAGUCCGCACAGUAAACGAUGAAUACUUGUUUUCGGCGAUAUAAUGUCGGAGGCAAAGCGAAAGCGAUAAGUAUUCCACCUGGGGAGUACGCCGGCAACGGUGAAACUCAAAUGAAUUGACGGGG
rnacentral:rRNA from 1 species